GGAUAUUACAAAUACCUUAAUAUUAUUUGAAAAACAAUGUUCCCUAUGGAAAACAAUCUCAGCUGUCUCACAGCUUAUGCUUUAUGCAGGUGUGUUAGAUACUAAGUAUAUCUCAUAAUUUUCACUCUCACUUUUAAACCAAAUGACCAUGGAAAUAGACUCUAAUGUACGCAGCUUCAUAAAUCUCACAAAUAAUCGAAAGUAUUUGAGUUGCAAUUAAAUGUUUUCAUUGAUUGAUUGGAAAAAAAAUACAAAGC
rnacentral:misc_RNA from 1 species